rnacentral:rRNA from 1 species
GUGGGGAAUAUUGGGCAAUGGGGGCAACCCUGACCCAGCGACGCCACGUGAGGGAAGAAGGCCUUAGGGUCGUAAACCUCUGUUGUGUGGGAAGAAGGAAGUGACGGUACCACACGAGGAAGUCCCGGCUAACUACGUGCCAGCAGCCGCGGUAAUACGUAGGGGACGAGCGUUGUCCGGAAUUACUGGGCGUAAAGGGCGCGUAGGCGGUCAUUUAAGUCAGCUGUGAAAUGGUCCGGCUCAACCGGAUCAUGCGGUUGAAACUGGAUGACUGGAGUGCUGGAGAGGCAAGUGGAAUUCCCAGUGUAGCGGUGAAAUGCGUAGAUAUUGGGAAGAACACCGGUGGCGAAGGCGACUUGCUGGCCAGCAACUGACGCUGAGGCGCGAAAGCCAGGGGAGCAAACGGGAUUAGAAACCCUUGUAGUCC